rnacentral:lncRNA from 1 species
CCAUACAUCACAGAAAUUAGCCCAUAAAUCACAUAAUAUUUUCUCCAAAUCACUAGUCUUACAAUUCAAGAAUCUUCAAUAUAUGGCAAUUAUCAAAUCCUCGCUAUCAGUAUUUGGCUCCUCUAAGUACAGUUUCCAGCUGCCAAUCAGUUUCCAACUGCUUAAAUUCAAAGUAGAUGUAGGCACAGCAGCACAGGCACUUGAUGCAUAAAAGAAC